rnacentral:rRNA from 1 species
CCAGACUCCUACGGGAGGCAGCAGUGAGGAAUAUUGGUCAAUGGCCGGAAGGCUGAACCAGCCAAGCCGCGUGAGGGAGGAAGGCGCAGAGCGUCGCAGACCUCUUUUGCCGGGGGACAAAAGGCCGGACUCGUCCGGUCCUGAGGGUACCCGGAGAAAAAGCAUCGGCUAACUCCGUGCCAGCAGCCGCGGUAAUACGGAGGAUGCGAGCGUUAUCCGGAUUUAUUGGGUUUAAAGGGUGCGCAGGCGGAAUGUCAAGUCAGCGGUAAAAUUUCGGGGCUCAACCCCGUCGUGCCGUUGAAACUGACGCCCUUGAGUGAGUGAGAAGUAAGCGGAAUGCGUGGUGUAGCGGUGAAAUGCAUAGAUAUCACGCAGAACACCGAUUGCGAAGGCAGCUUACCAAGCUACUUCUGACGUUGAGGCACGAAAGCGUGGGGAGCAAACAGGAUUAGAUACCCCAGUAC